CAAAGGAGAUCAGUGUCUGCUGUAUGCUGAAUUGAGAGCAGCAUCCAAGAGCCUUGACUGUGGCCUCGUGUUAUACAAGCAUGAUACAGCUGUGGGAGAGAAAGGUGGACCUUGCUCCAAGAGGUUUCAACACAGCGCAGAAUAAAUGACCGCUGCAUUAGCAAGUACUGCUGCCUCGAUGGAGACUACAUCCUAGCCAUGCACAGCCUUUCCAGAUACCAACAUGCACAUUGCUUCUUCU